rnacentral:lncRNA from 1 species
CUCCCAGAAUGGAAAGUGACAUCAUCUGUUGACAAAAAACGAGAUUACUAAGGGAUGGGGCCAGUUCCAACCACAGGCUGCACCCAUGUCUGUGGAGGGGAGCCAGAUGAUGAAGGACAGAUCACUGGGCUGAGCUUGGAACCUCGAGAAAACUUUUCAGUGAUUGCUGGACCCAGGAUGCAAACCUGGGGUCCAGCAAUUGCUCCAGCAUGGAUACAAUAUGUUACCACUCAGCCAUUCAGCCACCAUGCAGUGCAGCUUGAAUAUACUAUACUUUAAAACUUUACAUUAUUAUUUUAUUAAUGUUAAAUUGUAAUAACUUUCUAACUGUAACAUGUAUUUAAAUAAAUAACUAAAACAUCUUC